UAUAAGGUGGUAACUGGUAGAGAACGUGAAGGAUAACGUUGCGUCAGCAACGGCCCGAAGGACGAGGCGAAGCCGAGUCAUCCUGCACGACCCACCA
rnacentral:sRNA from 1 species